GAGUUUGAUCAUGGCUCAGAUUGAACGCUGGCGGCAUGCUUUACACAUGCAAGUCGGACGGCAGCGCAGAGAAGCUUGCUUCUUGGGUGGCGAGUGGCGAACGGGUGAGUAACAUAUCGGAACGUACCGAGCAGUGGGGGAUAACUAAUCGAAAGAUUAGCUAAUACCGCAUAUUUUCUGAGGAAGAAAGCAGGGGACCAUUUGGCCUUGCGCUGUUUGAGCGGCCGAUAUCUGAUUAGCUAGUUGGUGGGGUAAAGGCCUACCAAGGCGACGAUCAGUAGCGGGUCUGAGAGGAUGAUCCGCCACACUGGGACUGAGACACGGCCCAGACUCCUACGGGAGGCAGCAGUGGGGAAUUUUGGACAAUGGGCGCAAGCCUGAUCCAGCCAUGCCGCGUGUCUGAAGAAGGCCUUCGGGUUGUAAAGGACUUUUGUCAGGGAAGAAAAGGGCGGGGUUAAUACCCCUGUCUGAUGACGGUACCUGGAGAAUAAGCACCGGCUAACUACGUGCCAGCAGCCGCGGUAAUACGUAGGGUGCGAGCGUUAAUCGGAAUUACUGGGCGUAAAGCGGGCGCAGACGGUUACUUAAGCAGGAUGUGAAAUCCCCGGGCUCAACCUGGGAACUGCGUUCUGAACUGGGUGACUAGAGUGUGUCAGAGGGAGGUAGAAUUCCACGUGUAGCAGUGAAAUGCGUAGAGAUGUGGAGGAAUACCGAUGGCGAAGGCAGCCUCCUGGGAUAACACUGACGUUCAUGCCCGAAAGCGUGGGUAGCAAACAGGAUUAGAUACCCUGGUAGUCCACGCCCUAAAACGAUGUCGAUUAGCUGUUGGGCAGCAUGACUGCUUAGUAGCGAAGCUAACGGCGUGAAAAUCGACCGCCUGGGGAGUACGGUCGCAAAGAUUAAAACUUCAAAGGAAAUUGACGGGAACCCGCCCAAGCGGUGGAUGAUGUGGAUUAAUUCGAUGCAAACGCGAAAGAAAUCUUACCUGGUUCUUGACAUGUACGGAACCCCUCCAGAGAACGGAGGGGUGCUCUUUCGGGAGCCGUAACGACCAGGUGCUGCAUGGCUGUUCGUCAGCUCGUGUCGUGAGAAUGUUGGGUUAAGUUCCCGCGAACGAGGCGCACCCCUUGUCUUUAGUUGCUCGUCUUUAAGUUGGGCGCUCUGAAUGAGACUGCCGGUGAGAAGCUCGGAGGAAGGUGGGGAUGACGUCGAGUCCUCUUGGCCCUUAUGACCGGGGCUUCGCGCGU
rnacentral:rRNA from 1 species